GAUUUAUUUUAUUCAUUCUGGGGGCUUUCACAGCUUUAUGGCUGUUGGAUAUUUAUGUCCCCAAACUUGCAGCAAGUUUGGUGAAGGCCCCUAAAUUUAAUUUAAUUUAGGAUUUUUAUAAUCUUUUGGUAGAUGGGCUCUAUAUUAAUAUUCAUACUUAUUGGCUGUGGUGUUUUUGAAGAGGUUGGUGGGAAGGGAUAUUUCAGAUGGAUGUUGAUGCAACUUUUUUUCCCUUUAUCCUUCAGCCAUUUCCCUUUUUUUCCAAAUUCUGUGCACUAUUUUUUUGAAGGUAAUAUUUAAUAAUGGAACUACAUGUAGCUUAUAUGAACAGAUCUGUUGGGUGAUGCUGUUGCCUUUUCUGGGGAAAUGUAUUGAAAUGCAACUUACUUGAAAUCCAGAAACUUCAUCAUAACACUUUAAAUCCAUUUAGUUAUUAGGCCCACAGUAUUAAUUAUAAGAAUAUUAGUUAGAACUGGAGGCAUAAAAGGACGGAUAUAGUGAUAUACUUAACAUUUUUGUUUUCACAUGUUAUACCAUGACAGUUACACCAGAAGAGUAAAUAUUAAUGUAGAGCCCUGCAAAGAAGAGAUACAGAUUUGAGUUGGUAAAUAGAAAAAAGGAAUGAGAAAGUUGUAGAUUUUGCAAAAAUGUCAGUUUGAAAGAUUUCCUUUUCAUCAGCCUCUUUUUUUAAAAAGGCAUAAUAUUGUAAAGUUUGGUGUAUUGCACCAUGUAUUCUAAAAUCACAGCAUUCAUUGUGAAUUUUGAGGGAUUUUGCAAUGUAAUUUAACAUGUUUAUUAACUACCAUUACCAUAUCAACAAUAUUGAAGAUAAAACUGUACUCUUAUUUAGAAAAUGAGAACUUUACUAUCUUUAAAUAAUUUUAAAAUUACUGUUUGAGCAGACUGCCCCUUUGCCUUUUUCUUGCAAAAGCAUGAGAUACCUGGACAAUUUCAGCCUGAGAAUAGGUUUUGUCCCUGAGUAAUCUGACUGCCUCUUGGCAGCAUUUGACUCUUACAAUUUCCAAAUUAAAAAAAAUGUUUGCUAGCUUGUUUGAAAUUGCUGCAGCAGAUGAGUUUUUAAAGACAGUUUUUGAUGCACCAUAGAAACUGUUUAAUUUCUUAAAUGUUUCCUUAAGUAAUGGUUAACUUGUAUAGCUUUCACAAGUCUGGUUGUGGCUCACAUUGUCUUUAAUACAAUUGACUGUCACCUACAAGAAUGGAACUUAUUCCUUCUGCCUUGUUGCCUUCCCCCUUUGGAACUCCUACCCAACUGCCCCACACUCACGUUCUGAACCCCUUCUGGGUUUCUGAUCCUUCCUGGUGAGCUCCAGAAACCAGUUAUAAUCCUCACUAAUGCCCAAAUUUGUGAGACAUACGCACUGAAUGUUAACUGUAUUCAAGUAAUUGUUGAGCAGUGUGUGUUAUAUUCCUAAUUCUGUCAGUUUGAUGUUACCCUUUAUAACACAAAAGACAAUACUACAGUAACUAGCAUUUUUCUACUAAAUUUAUUCAAGUUGUAAGAGCACUUGUCACUUCACUGUCUUGUCUCCUCAUUUGCAUAACCUGGUCAGGCAAGAGUUUUCUUGCAGAAGAGAAUUGCAUAAGUAGUAUGUUGUAUGUGUUGCUACAGAUAUCUGAAUCAUUCUAUUAAGACUCAAUGAAUGAAAAAUAAUCAGAGAUAUUUAGUGUUUAAUAUUCAUUAUUGAUUCACUCUGCCUUUUCACCAUUUAAUAGACUGACACUAAAUAGUUUCCAUCCAAAUAUUUGUAUUUGGUCUGGUAAGUCUUCAGGUGUAUUUUGUAGUAGAAAUGUUCAAAUGUAGAUUAAUGUAUACCCUCUGCCUUGUCCAUAGUGUACAUUUCUACAAAGAUGAGUAUCCUUCUUUGAUCCACACUUGGGUUAUAUCCAAUAAAUGUAUAUUCCUUGUGGCAGUUAAAUGUUCAGUGUCCUACUCAAACCAUCAAUUUGUUUUCACCUUUGCAUUGUUUGAAGAUACUAGCUUAAGAUGGUCAUGAGAAAUCACUUACUUGCACUUCCUAUUUCUGUUGUACUGAUGAUCUUAAUGUAAGUUAAAUGUUGCUUCAACAUGCCAAAAAAAAACCAUGAUUCUCUGUAUUUCUUGUAUCUAUCUUGUGAAUGAGACUAAGUACUGUAGUUCGUACCUCCCCUAUCACUCUAGGGAUAUUUUCUUUUCUGCGCUAGUUAUUCUCAUGUAAAUUUGAGAACAUACUUCUUGGAAUCCUAGUAGAAACCUUCAUCUGGAGGAAGACUAAUCAUUUUGCUAUCCACUUCCGAAAGAUGCAAUCAAUGGCACUCCAGAAUAAUUCUGUAGGAUGUUGUGUGGAUUUGAGCUUCCUUUGCUAUAAUUUUCAAUUCAAUGCAUUUCAAAUGGUAUCGGAAAUCUCUAGUUGGUCUUCAAACACAAGCUUCGCUUCUCCCUUUCUCCAUGUUCCUGCCUCCCUCCAAGGGAGUUUUAUGAUUUUCAAAAGUUGCUCAUUUUGAGAUUGCAAUAAAAAAAUUGAAGUUCUUGGGUCUGUGACUUCAGCAGGCACAGCAAUAUUAUCCUAAUCCGGUGCCACAAUUGAUGUCCAUGUAUUAAUUUGAAAGCAACAAGAGAGCAGUUUGCAUGUGCUUUAAAUAUUCAGUGGUGAUAUGUGACCUAUAAAAGGUAGAGAGGCUUUGCUUUCCUUCUAACCACAACAAUAGCACACUGCUUUAUAUUAUUUAAUAGGAGUUUUUCCUCAACUCCUGGAUCAACUGUUUCAAAAAGAUCUUUAAACACAAAUCUAGUUUAAAAAAAAAAAAUCUUGCUCCUACUGUGAAACUUGUCUGACACCUUUGAGUGUGGAUCUAAGGAGGAUAUUGCCAGAAAAACUUCAAUUGUAAACAAGACAUUCCCUAAUUCAAAGUCAUGCAUGCUUACUAAUACCCUGUGUGUCACGAAGUUGCUCCAUUUCUGGCUUCCAUGUCUUUUCCCAAAGGCUCUUAAGAAUCACUUUAAAAUAUUAUUCUUAUUUUCCUACAUUCUAAUGGAAGCACUCAGUAUAAUUCCAUUUAAAGCUACAAGGACCUAUAUUUUUUUUUCAUGCACAAGAAAUGCUAUAAUGUUAAACUGCUAAAUCAGGUGAACUUUUGCAUAUCUCUCGUUACAUGCAAGGUAAAUAAUAGGAGUGGCAAAUAAAGUACAUGCCACGCAUUAAGUUCUUGGAUGCUUUGGAAUGCUGUGAUGGUUGCCUUAUACAGAACACUUUGUAUAUUAGUAUUAAAUGCUGUCCCUUAAGUGCUGUGGAAAAUACUUACCAGUGUGCCUAUUUUCAAAAUUAUUUCACGAAAGCAGGGUUUCUCAAACUCCAUUGCAUCAUGAUUCCCUUCUGACAACAAAUUACUACACGACCCCGGGCAUGGGGACUGAAGUCUGAGCCAAACCCAACGUUUGAGCCCUGCUGUCCAGGGGUGGGGCGGGCGGAGGAGGAGGAGGCAAAGCCGAAAGUUGAGGGCUUCAGCCCUGGUGAUGGGGCUCUGACUUUGGCUUCAGUCCUGGGCCCCAGCAAGUCUAAUGCCAGCUCUGGCGACCCCCCAUAAAAACAGGGUCAUGACCCACUUUGGGGUCCCGACCCACAGUUUGAGAAUCACUGCAUUAAAAUCACUAAGAUUUCCUAUAGCCCUGUGGUUCUCAACCUAUUUACCAUUGUGGGCUGCAUCCAAUAUUACCUGUAUGGCCCUGAGGGUGUCACAUGGGCUGCAGCUCUGUGCUGAUUGGGCCACAGGUUAAGAACCACUCCGAUAGCCAGUCUGGAGAAAAGCAGUUAGUGGGUUUAGUGGCCUCUUUCUGCCACAAAUGUAGUGAUGGUCCAUUUUCGUAUUUGCCUUAAAAACUUGUCCAGAUAUUAGUUUGGGAGUGGGAAAAGAACUGAGGAUAGUUGCUUUGGAAAUAGACCUUGCUGAGUUUUUGUGAUUGUGCAAAACACAUUUAAUCAUCUGACUGUUGUGAUUCAGUAAAAUACAUUGCUGAGAUGGCAGCUCUCUGCAAAUCUCCACCCUAUCAGAAUAGGAAGUAGAUAAUAAUCACAGCUAGAAUGAAUAUUGGUAUCAUGUUUCUGCUAGUGUAUCUGCAGUUUUAAUGCAACAUCAUUGCUGGCCAAGUGACAUAGGUAUACUGAAGACCUCUAUGCAAGAGAGACAGACUUUUAAUCCACAAUUUCUUGAUCCCUUGGCCAACACAGACUUGAAAUACAACAGACUCCUCUGGGUGGUUACAAUUUGUAUGCCUCACUUCUCAACCCAACCUUUUUCUUAUGAGGCAUGGAAGGAUCCACAGUCAGGAGUCCUGACCAGUCCUUGACUGGGCAGAUGGUGCCCACGUAAAGCCCGAGAGUAAAGGAGGAAAAGGUGAACUACCAGCUGGAUUUCCACUGCAAGAUCCACAUUUCAUGCAGGUCAUCAGACAGUGUAGUGGUGUUAAGAUCCAGGCUUUUUAUUCAGUCAAGUACUUAAUUCAAAUUAUAUCUAGUAGGAUGGUAUAUCUUGAAUGCUGGGAUACUCCACACUUCCCUGCAAUUCUAUGCACCAGAUCUUUUGAUUUCACCAACCAUCCGUGUCCCUAGCAGAAAACUCUAGUUUUAAUAGUACCAUUUUUAAAUGGUGCUGAACUCAUCUUAAAACACUGGUAAUGAACUCAUCUCAAGGUUUGUCUUGACUAAGAGUUAAAAGGUAAGACCAACAGCUGGUGAUGGUGUAGCGGUAUCUUGUAUAAGAUCAUGUUUGAUGUAAUAGACGGAUCAUUUUGGGCUUCCUAGAAUAGUGGGUUAAGAAAUCUGAUUUUUGAGGCCAUGGGAUUCUUUUUUCCCUCUCCCCACCUUUACAGGGGGUGUAGAAAGAAGACACAUUGUGGCGGGGGAGUUGCUAGGUCAGGUGAGGUACGUCAGUUUCAGGUAUGUGUUGCCUCAGGGUUUCCUUUUUGUUUUUGCUAAAUCAAUAUAAAUUUUAAUCACAUUUCAAGAGUAAUUCUUUUUAAAUUGAAUUACACUUCUGCUGUUCCUACUAAAACUGUGUUAACUAGUCCCAACUUUAACCUUUUGGUUUUGAAUGUGGGAAUUUUCAUCAUACCUAAGAACAGCCCACAUAUACUCAAAUCCAUUUCUCUAUUCCCUUAUUUAUGAAUCACACAUCAAGACAAAGUAAAACUAAUUUCAUAAACAACUUCAACUCUAUUGCCUCAGUGAAGCAGAUGAAAUUUUAGAAAAUAAUAAGUGUGCCCGAUCUAUUUUCACUGAGUGCUCUUUAACAGAGUUACUCUUGCAACUACAACUUGUAAUCCCUUGACAUUUAGGUUUGUCCAAGACGUGUUUAUCAUAUUACACUUGUCUGAUCCAUGAGUCAGAAAAGUUUGAAUCAAAUUUAAGGGCAAAUUAAACAUAAUUUUAUAGCUGCCUUUAGUCUGUUCCUUAAAAAUAAAUAAAUAAAUAAAUUUAAAAAAAUGUACCAAUUGAGGUUUGACUUUUUUUUUUAAUGAGAACUAAAUUAUGGAUAAACUCCUUGAUUUAAUACAACUUGUGUUUUUGUUAACUAGCAGCAGAAUUUCAGCAUUUGCUACUUACUGGUAGAGAAGAAAAAUCCCACAGCAUUGCCAGUACAGGUUAGUUUAAUCUCAUUCAGUUGACAGAGAAGUGUUGAAGACCAUAUGGAACCAAGAACAAUGAAUCAAACUUGCAUUCCUUGUGUGUUCUUAUUGGGCUCAUUUUUCUUCAGGAAUGGGAAAUUGGAUAAUAUAUAUACUUCCAUAAUAUGUAUCUAUUUAAUUCUGACUUUCUCCAAUGAUUAAACUUAAUAAUUUAAUAAAUGAA